GAGGCCUAAACAUGCAAGUCGAGCGGAAACGGCAGUAUUGAAGCUUCGGUGGAUUUACUGGACGUCGAGCGGCGGACGGGUGAGUAACGGCUGGGAACCUGCCCUGACGAGGGGGAUAACCGUUGGAAACGACGGCUAAUACCGCAUAAUGUCUACGGACCAAAGGUGGCCUCUACAUGUAAGCUAUCGCGUUGGGAUGGGCCCAGUUAGGAUUAGCUAGUUGGUAAGGUAAUGGCUUACCAAGGCGACGAUCCUUAGCUGGUUUGAGAGGAUGAUCAGCCACACUGGGACUGAGACACGGCCCAGACUCCUACGGGAGGCAGCAGUGGGGAAUAUUGCACAAUGGGGGAGACCCUGAUGCAGCCAUGCCGCGUGUGUGAAGAAGGCCUUCGGGUUGUAAAGCACUUUCAGCAGUGAGGAAGGUAGUGUACUUAAUACGUGCAUUGCUUGACGUUAGCUGCAGAAGAAGCACCGGCUAACUCCGUGCCAGCAGCCGCGGUAAUACGGAGGGUGCGAGCGUUAAUCGGAAUUACUGGGCGUAAAGCGCAUGCAGGCGGUUUGUUAAGUCAGAUGUGAAAGCCCGGGGCUCAACCUCGGAACCGCAUUUGAAACUGGCAGGCUAGAGUCUUGUAGAGGGGGGUAGAAUUUCAGGUGUAGCGGUGAAAUGCGUAGAGAUCUGAAGGAAUACCAGUGGCGAAGGCGGCCCCCUGGACAAAGACUGACGCUCAGAUGCGAAAGCGUGGGUAGCAAACAGGAUUAGAUACCCUGGUAGUCCACGCCGUAAACGAUGUCUACUUGGA
rnacentral:rRNA from 1 species